GACGAGUGGCGGACGGGUGAGUAAGGUAUGGGGAUCUGCCGAAUGGAGAGGGACAACAGUUGGAAACGACUGCUAAUACCUCAUAAAGUUGAGAGACCAAAGCGUGGGACCUUCGGGCCACGUGCCAUUUGAUGAACCCCAUAUGGGAUUAGCUAGUUGGUGGGGUAAUAGCUCACCAAGGCGACGAUCUCUAGCUGGUCUGAGAGGAUGACCAGCCACACUGGAACUGAGACACGGUCCAG
rnacentral:rRNA from 1 species